GGUCGCGUGGCCCAAUGGCAAGGCGUCUGACUACGAAUCAGGAGAUCGUGGGUUCGACCCCCACCGUGACCU
rfam:Drechmeria coniospora strain ARSEF 6962 chromosome 01, whole genome shotgun sequence.